CUUCCUGUUUAUUUCAUUUGUGGGAAGCUGGGAGUGACCUAGGUAUCUCCUUUGUAUUUUCCCUGAAUUAUCACCUUGCUUUUUUCCCUCGUUGAAUAUUUUCUGCCCUGGGUUCUAAUAUAUAUUAUAUUUUGGAUAGCCAUCUGUCUUGGAUGAUUUAGACACAACAAAUCCUGCAUCUUUGGCAGGGGGUUAGACUAAAUGACCCUUGCGGUUCCUUCUCUGUCUCUCUAUGAUUCUAUGUUUAGUUAUUAUUAAAUAUUUCAGUACCACCCUUGUUUGUUGUCUUGAAAACAAUUGCUACAGUAAAUUUGAUAGCUGUUGCUCUAGAAUGUGUGUCACCUGGACGAGCUGGGUUUUUCCCCCAACAAUUCCUUUACUGCACUACAAGUAAAUGUCCCAGUCUGCUAAAUUGCUGUGCUCCAGUCCCAAGAUGUUUAAAAGCUAUUGAUAAAAUUAAAUUGGAUUAUAAUCUGGAAUUUCCUUUCUUUAUAGAUUGUUCACUGUCCUACUUUUUCUGGAAGACAGAUUCACAAGGGUUUAACAUCAGCUAUUUUAAGUCAUUCAUUUCAUCCUCUGAUUUAUUAAAGGCCACACAUUCUUCUUAGUACUUCUUCUUAAACCUCCAUUCUGACUAUCGUUAACUCAUUUUGCAGUCUCUUUGCUGAAAAUUAAAGAUACGAUUGUAACUAUUGCUUCCUGUUCUCAGGAUUUUCUUUCAGCAUCAGGUGUUGUAGUUUCACAGAGAAGCACUCAACUUGCUGACUUCUUCCAUUUUAUUUUUUCAGAAAAACUAACACUUCCUCCAGUUUCUUAAUAUGCUGAAUUCAAGUAGCUCAUGGUCACACCCUCCAAUCUUCCUCCUUUUCCUAAUCAGAUCCUUUAUACUCAUUAUUAUAAAAAAAAUAGAUAAAGAACAGAUUAUCUGGAGUCCCUAUUUCUGGAUUAGAAAGCUGUCUUCUGUGUAAAAUGAGGAACCUCUUUCAUGCCUGUUGAGUUGUAUUGGUCACUGUUUGUUAAGGAUUAUUGAAAUCCUCCUUGAGCAGAGUAUUCAGUGACUUAGUCUCUGAGGUUUUGGCUCAGUAACUUUUGUUUCUUACUCUCCUCCCUCUAAGAAGUUGAGAUCUAUUUAAGGCUGUAAAAAAAAAAAAAUUAAGACAGUAUUAGUACUGGGUCACAAAAAUAGGACAACUACCACACAGCUACUGAACUCUGAGUACAGUUGGAA